rnacentral:rRNA from 1 species
AGAGUUUGAUCAUGGCUCAGAUUGAACGCUGGCGGCAGGCCUAACACAUGCAAGUCGAGCGGUAACAGAAAGUAGCUUGCUACUUUGCUGACGAGCGGCGGACGGGUGAGUAAUGCUUGGGAACAUGCCUUGAGGUGGGGGACAACAGUUGGAAACGACUGCUAAUACCGCAUAAUGUCUACGGACCAAAGGGGGCUUCGGCUCUCGCCUUUAGAUUGGCCCAAGUGGGAUUAGCUAGUUGGUGAGGUAAUGGCUCACCAAGGCAACGAUCCCUAGCUGGUUUGAGAGGAUGAUCAGCCACACUGGAACUGAGACACGGUCCAGACUCCUACGGGAGGCAGCAGUGGGGAAUAUUGCACAAUGGGCGAAAGCCUGAUGCAGCCAUGCCGCGUGUGUGAAGAAGGCCUUCGGGUUGUAAAGCACUUUCAGUCAGGAGGAAAGGGUGUGAGUUAAUACCUCACAUCUGUGACGUUACUGACAGAAGAAGCACCGGCUAACUCCGUGCCAGCAGCCGCGGUAAUACGGAGGGUGCGAGCGUUAAUCGGAAUUACUGGGCGUAAAGCGUACGCAGGCGGUUUGUUAAGCGAGAUGUGAAAGCCCCGGGCUCAACCUGGGAACUGCAUUUCGAACUGGCAAACUAGAGUGUGAUAGAGGGUGGUAGAAUUUCAGGUGUAGCGGUGAAAUGCGUAGAGAUCUGAAGGAAUACCGAUGGCGAAGGCAGCCACCUGGGUCAACACUGACGCUCAUGUACGAAAGCGUGGGGAGCAAACGGGAUUAGAUACCCCGGUAGUCCACGCCGUAAACGAUGUCUACUAGAAGCUCGGAACCUCGGUUCUGUUUUUCAAAGCUNACGCAUUAAGUAGACCGCCUGGGGAGUACGGCCGCAAGGUUAAAACUCAAAUGAAUUGACGGGGGCCCGCACAAGCGGUGGAGCAUGUGGUUUAAUUCGAUGCAACGCGAAGAACCUUACCUACACUUGACAUC